ACGUUGCCUCGGCGGAUCAGCCCGCGCCCCGUAAAACGGGACGGCCCGCCCGAGGACCCCUAAACUCUGUUUUUAGUGGAACUUCUGAGUAAAACAAACAAAUAAAUCAAAACUUUCAACAACGGAUCUCUUGGUUCUGGCAUCGAUGAAGAACGCAGCAAAAUGCGAUAAGUAAUGUGAAUUGCAGAAUUCAGUGAAUCAUCGAAUCUUUGAACGCACAUUGCGCCCGCCAGUAUUCUGGCGGGCAUGCCUGUUCGAGCGUCAUUUCAACCCUCAAGCUCAGCUUGGUGUUGGGACUCGCGGUGACCCGCGUUCCCCAAAUCGAUUGGCGGUCACGUCGAGCUUCCAUAGCGUAGUAAUCAUACACCUCGUUACUGGUAAUCGUCGCGGCCACGCCGUAAAACCCCAACUUCUGAAUGUUGACCUCGGAUCAGGUAGGAAUACCCGCUGAACUUAAGCAUAUCAAUAAGGCGGAGGAA
rnacentral:rRNA from 1 species